GACGAACGCUGGCGGCGUGCUUAACACAUGCAAGUCGAACGGAAAGGCCCUGCUUUUGUAGGGUGCUCGAGUGGCGAACGGGUGAGUAACACGUGAGUAACCUGCCCUUGACUUUGGGAUAACUUCAGGAAACUGGGGCUAAUACCGGAUAGGAGCUCCUGCUGCAUGGUGGGGGUGGGAAAGAUUCGGCGGUUGGGGAUGGACUCGCGGCUUAUCAGCUUGUUGGUGGGGUAGUGGCUUACCAAGGCCUUGACGGGUAGCCGGCCUGAGAGGGUGACCGGCCACAUUGGGACUGAGAUGCGGCCCGGACUCCUCCGGGAGGCAGCAGUGGAGAAUAUUGCACAUUGGGCGGAAGCCUGAUGCAGCAACGCCGCGUGCGGGAUGACGGCCUUCCGGUUGUAUACCGCUUUCGCCUGUGACGAAGCGUGAGUGACGGUAAUGGGUAAAGAAGCACCGGCUAACUACGUG
rnacentral:rRNA from 1 species